rnacentral:tRNA from 1 species
ACUUGUCUAGCUUAGUUGGUAGAGCACAAGGGUUUUAACCUUGAGGUUGUGGAUUCAAACCCCAUGGUGGGCG